rnacentral:lncRNA from 1 species
ACCAUUUCAACUUCAAAAUACUCUUUUAACUUAGCUUGUAAUAUUCGUUUUAUCAACUUCAAUCAAAUAUUGUCAAAAUGGAGCAUUAGUACUUAUAACGUCUAAUUGCAACUAAGUUAACUUACCUCAGGUCAAGAGUACAAUAAUGAUAAUAUUAAUCCACUAAGUCAAAUUAAACAUCAUAGAAAUGUAAUUACAAUUACGCCACAUAAGGUUAAAUUCCAUUUUCCAUCUAAUCAUCACUCAUAAGUGCAGCAAAAGAGAAAAAAGCGUGAACCUACCUCCAAAUUCGAAUGCAAUAGGUUGACAAAAUCAUACAUGAAUAAAAACAAGUAAAAGACAAGGAAGAUAUAAUACCAAUAUAGGAUUGAAUAGCUGUUUGGAGAGCAGAAAACUUUUUAUUGGAACACUCCUUGAGCAUUGAUUCCAAUGCUCGAGUUAUGAAACCUCCCGCAGCUCCACCAGCCAUUUUCUCUUUUUUUUAUUGGUUUUCGCCUGACCUGCGGAGAUCUAUAAUCAACGGGAUCGAUUUGAAAGCAUCAAUGCGAUCCUGUGGCACUCGAUCUGGAUAUCUACGAUGAAAGUGUUUCUUUUUUCUUUAACCUUAGGACAGCAAAAAAGGAGUUGUUGAGAUCUCGUCGGGAAACCCAGAGAUCUGAAAAUGGAAGAAAUACUGGGAAGGGGUUCAGGGUGCAGACCGUUCCACCACCUCCGGCUCCGGAUCUGUUUUAAAUGACAAAAAAGGUGAAAACAAAAUUAAUAAUAAUUAAUGACAAAAAGGUGAAAACAAAUACUACCGUGUUUUUUACUCUUUUUAUCUUUAUUUACAGGCCUGGCCGUCACUCGAUUGACCAAUUUGGGUCCAGCUCGGAUGUGGCAAAAUUAUU